rnacentral:rRNA from 1 species
UACGGAGGGUGCAAACGUUGCUCGGAAUCAUUGGGCGUAAAGCGCACGUAGGCGGCCGACUAAGUCGGGUGUGAAAGCCCAGGGCUCAACCCUGGAAGUGCACUCGAAACUGGUCGGCUUGAAUAUGGAAGAGGGUCGCGGAAUUCCCGGUGUAGAGGUGAAAUUCGUAGAUAUCGGGAGGAACACCAGUGGCGAAGGCGGCGACCUGGGCCAAUAUUGACGCUGAGGUGCGAAAGCGUGGGGAGCAAACAGG